GACGAACGCUGGCGGCGUGCUUAACACAUGCAAGUCGAACGGUAAGGCCCUUCGGGGUACACGAGUGGCGAACGGGUGAGUAACACGUGGGUGAUCUGCCCUGCACUUCGGGAUAAGCCUGGGAAACUGGGUCUAAUACCGGAUAGGACCACUGCCUGCAUGGGUGGUGGUGGAAAGCUUUUGCGGUGUGGGGUGGGCCCGCGGCCUAUCAGCUUGUUGGUGGGGUGAUGGCCUACCAAGGCGACGGCGGGUAGCCGGCCUGGGAGGGUGACCGGCCACACUGGGACUGAGAUACGGCCCAGACUCCUACGGGAGGCAGCAGUGGGGAAUAUUGCACAAUGGGCGCAAGCCUGAUGCAGCGACGCCGCGUGAGGGAUGACGGCCUUCGGGUUGUAAACCUCUUUCAGCACCGACGAAGCGCAAGUGACGGUAGGUGCAGAAGAAGGACCGGCCAACUACGUGCCAGCCGCCGCUGUAA
rnacentral:rRNA from 1 species